UACGGAGGGUGCAAGCGUUAUCCGGAUUUACUGGGUUUAAAGGGUGCGUAGGUGGGUAAGUAAGUCAGUGGUGAAAUCUCCGGGCUUAACCCGGAAACUGCCAUUGAUACUAUUUAUCUUGAAUACUUUGGAGGUAAGCGGAAUAUGUCAUGUAGCGGUGAAAUGCUUAGAUAUGACAUAGAACACCAAUUGCGAAGGCAGCUUACUACACAGUGACUGACACUGAGGCACGAAAGCGUGGGGAUCAAACAGG
rnacentral:rRNA from 1 species